CCUACGGGAGGCAGCAGUGAGGAAUAUUGGUCAAUGGCCGAGAGGCUGAACCAGCCAAGUCGCGUGAGGGAAGACGGCCCUACGGGUUGUACACCUCUUUUGUCGGGGAGCAAAGCGAGUCACGUGUGACUCAUUGAGAGUACCCGAAGAAAAAGCAUCGGCUAACUCCGUGCCAGCAGCCGCGGUGAUACGGAGGAUGCGAGCGUUAUCCGGAUUUAUUGGGUUUAAAGGGUGCGCAGGCGGAGGUGCAAGUCAGCGGUCAAAUUGCGGGGCUCAACCCCGUACUGCCGUUGAAACUGCAGCCCUUGAGGGCGCGAGAAGUAUGCGGAAUGCGUGGUGUAGCGGUGAAAGGCAUAGAUAGCACGCAGAACUCCGAUUGCGAAGGCAGCAUACCGGCGCGCAACUGACGCUCAUGCACGAAAGCGUGGGUAUCGAACAGGAUUAGAUACCCGAGUAGUC
rnacentral:rRNA from 1 species